UACGAACGCUGGCGGCGUGCUUAACACAUGCAAGUCGAACGGAAAGGCCCUGCUUGCAGGGUACUCGAGUGGCGAACGGGUGAGUAACACGUGGGUGAUCUGCCCUGCACUUCGGGAUAAGCCUGGGAAACUGGGUCUAAUACCGGAUAGGAGCCAUUUUUAGUGUGAUGGUUGGAAAGUUUUUUCGGUGUAGGAUGAGCUCGCGGCCUAUCAGCUUGUUGGUGGGGUAAUGGCCUACCAAGGCGGCGACGGGUAGCCGGCCUGAGAGGGUGGACGGCCACAUUGGGACUGAGAUACGGCCCAGACUCCUACGGGAGGCAGCAGUGGGGAAUAUUGCACAAUGGGCGCAAGCCUGAUGCAGCGACGCCGCGUGGGGGAUGACGGCCUUCGGGUUGUAAACUCCUUUCGCUAGGGACGAAGCUUUUUGUGACGGUACCUAGAUAAGAAGCACCGGCUAACUACGU
rnacentral:rRNA from 1 species